AGCAGACAUAACUUCAGUCAGACAUUUGUUUUUCACCAUCCCCUUCUGACCCCCUUGCUCAGUAGACCACAAUAAAACUCUAAACAUAAACAACUAAUCUUACCUAGCGGGAGACUACUAAACUGAAAUACAAUGAGAGCUGUGUCUUAUGUGGAACGUCUUGAGUUUGAUUUCCCUGGAUCAGUUUUCAAAAAUGCAUUUUUGUUUGGUGAUGUUGAUAAUGACAAAUGUGAAGAACUUGUUGUGGGUAACGAAAAUGGAGAUGUGUACAUUUACAAAGGCAGCGCUAGUAAAUGUUGGAGAAGAGCUAGUGAUUUGGGAAUGGUAACUGCAAUUGGAGUUGGUGAUAUAUUCAAUGCGGGUCGAAAUUCUUUGGUUGUGGUUAAUGGGGAAGGCUGGUGUUACAUUUUUGAUUUCCUCACGGAUACGUGCAGCGACGGUGAACUUCCCAUGAAACCGACUCACGUACAACGAAUUCCGGCUAAUACCAAAGUCCUUCUCCUGCAUGAUGUGAAUUCAGACGGAAUGAUUGAACUUGUGAUUGGAUUGACGGACCGAGUUGUCCGCACGUAUCAGUGGAUUAAUACAAAACUGGUUGGUCUCAACAAAUGGGAGUUCGCUAAUCAAAUUGGUACUGUGGGUAUAAAUGACAUGGCCAACCGCACCCCUUCACUUCUAGUUGCCCAUCCGGGAGGUACGUUUAUUCGGUUGAAAUGUAAGCCUUUAGAAAAUUGUGAAGAUCAUGGAAAAGAAGAACCAAGGGAGUUAUUAUCUAAAAUGUCAAUUGAUUAUCAUCCACUUGCAUACUCACAUAUGCGCAAUCCAAAUGUAUCAACGGAAAUAUUAGGGAACAUAUCACAGGGAAUAUCGCAUCAAGAUGAAAAUAAGGGAGCCCUGUAUGCCGUUGCUACACUUGACGGAACCUUGAUGAUGAUAAGGCACAUAAAGUUUGAGAACGCGCGAGGGAACCAUUUGAAAAAGGUCGUUACAAGUUGAUCAUCAGUUAUUUGCUCUAUCGAAACUAGACAUAACAGGCGAUGGCCGGGAAGAAGUGGUCGCCUGUUCAUGGGAUGGACAAACAUACAUUGUAAACCAAGAGAAGCAAACUGUUCGGUUCCAAUUUGAUCAAUCCGUUUCAGCCUUCACCGCAGGUUAUUAUUCCUUAAAUUCCCAAUCGUCUUCCCUCCCCGCUUUUGCUUACGCAACGUUCCAC
rnacentral:misc_RNA from 1 species